CGGAAAGGCCCUGCUUGCAGGGUACUCGAGUGGCGAACGGGUGAGUAACACGUGGGUGAUCUGCCCUGCACUUCGGGAUAAGCCUGGGAAACUGGGUCUAAUACCGGAUAGGAGCCAUUUUUAGUGUGAUGGUUGGAAAGUUUUUUCGGUGUAGGAUGAGCUCGCGGCCUAUCAGCUUGUUGGUGGGGUAAUGGCCUACCAAGGCGGCGACGGGUAGCCGGCCUGAGAGGGUGGACGGCCACAUUGGGACUGAGAUACGGCCCAGACUCCUACGGGAGGCAGCAGUGGGGAAUAUUGCACAAUGGGCGCAAGCCUGAUGCAGCGACGCCGCGUGGGGGAUGACGGCCUUCGGGUUGUAAACUCCUUUCGCUAGGGACGAAGCUUUUUGUGACGGUACCUAGAUAAGAAGCACCGGCUAACUACGUGCCAGCAGCCGCGGUAAUACGUAGGGUGCGAGCGUUGUCCGGAAUUACUGGGCGUAAAGGGCUCGUAGGUGGUUUGUCGCGUCGUCUGUGAAAUUCCGGGGCUUAACUCCGGGCGUGCAGGCGAUACGGGCAUAACUUGAGUACUGUAGGGGUAACUGGAAUUCCUGGUGUAGCGGUGAAAUGCGCAGAUAUCAGGAGGAACACCGAUGGCGAAGGCAGGUUACUGGGCA
rnacentral:rRNA from 1 species